GGCAGCAAGAAGCGAAGUGGCGAGCAUAUUUUGCUUGUUUAUGCUAGUUUAGCGACUAUUUCCCAGCGCUUGGUGGACUAAAUUUUGACGAAUCUGCGGCAUGAAAAUGCUAUGUUUCAAGGCGUUCGGGAACAAGUUUAAGCAAGCCGUUGAGCCUUUAAAUGCAGCUAAAAGGAAAGUAUUGUCCACCUCGAAUAUGCGUAGACGUGGGACCGUGCGAAAAGUCGACCAUAUGUGGCCAAAUUUACGUAUUGGAAAGCCUCACUUCGGCAAAUUAUGUCGAUUUAUUAGGCGUUUAUAUACAAAGCGAGAAGUAGAAAUAUAAAUCUCUCGGGAACAUAUCUACGCUACUCGGACUGUCGCCAGAUUUUCGGGAGUUGAUACUGGCCUUAUUUGAUAAAUUUUUAGACGUGGGACCGUGUAAAUUCUUUACGGGAUCGAACAAAAAAUGCG